CCUACGGGAGGCAGCAGUGGGGAAUCUUGCGCAAUGGGCGAAAGCCUGACGCAGCAACGCCGCGUGGGGGAUGAAGGCUCUCGGGUUGUAAACCCCUUUCAGUAGGGACGAAUUCAGGCGGUACCUACAGAAGAAGCCCCGGCCAACUACGUGCCAGCAGCCGCGGUAAU
rnacentral:rRNA from 1 species